AUACUAACGUACAGAAGCUCAAGCCAAUUUAAGAAAGAAAUAAGUGGUUGAAGCCUUAAAGGCUUGCAAGCAUUUGGUACGAGUGGAUGACAGCUAAGCUUGCCUAAGCAUGGGUUUGUCCGUCCAUCAUCUACAACAACUUGACCUUCACUGUGACAGUCAAGCAAAGAGACCUGCCGAAAUGGUGAAAACGCAGCGAAAGCGAGAGAGACAAAGACAGUGAAGAAGAAUAAGAAGCAAUAGCAAUGCAACCUCAUUGUUUGACAGCAUCUCAUGGUGUUUGAAGCUUCAACAAUGGCUACAAUGUGUACAAGCUGGGCUUCCUGUGCUGUUCUGCUUUAUCUUGUUCUAUUUCUAACACCAUGUUGUCCAAUCCUAGUCACAGCCUUGCCAGCUCUCAGUUAUCUGACUCCAAACGCUUCUACUUCAUGGACCAACAGUCUUUCCGCUCCUGAUUCUGUGAAAUUUGAUGAUGGAUCAUUUGCGAGAAUCAUACUUGCACGUGAAUUCAACCAUUAUUUUAAGACUGGUUGUGGCUGUGGCUUCUUCUAUAAUCAAACGCGCAACACUCAUGUCUUUGCCAUUUUCACUCUUUCUUAUGACGACGUCAACGCUGUCAAUAUUUCGAAAUCUAAAGAUCCAAAAGUAGUAUGGUUUGCUAACCCAGAGAAUCCGGUUAGCAUUAAUGCGACUUUGCAGCUUACUUCAGAAAAAGGUUUGGUGUUAAAAGAUGCUAAAGGAACUACAGUGUGGUCCACGAACAUCCUCAGCAAAUCUGUGGCUGGCCUAAACUUAACCGAAAUGUGCAACCUCCAGCUCUUGGAUGACAAGAGUGCAACAGUUUGGCAGUCUUUUGAUCACCCAACAGACACACUGGUUGUUGGCCAAAAAUUGGUGGCAGGGCAGCAACUCACUAGUCAAGGAGGAUUGUUUUCGCUCCAUGUCACCAGGCAAGGAAUCUUUGCUUAUGUCAGUUCUAAUCCUCCCCAACGCUAUUUUACUUAUACAAGUGAUAACACCAGUCAUAUUCAAUUUCUUGAGGACAGAAUGACUUUCUCCAGCAAUACAAAUACAGAUUUUCCUCUUCCUUCAUCAAACUUCUUCCCAAAUCGGUAUAUGACACUCGGGGCUGACAAUGGACGCUUGAAAGUGUAUGAUAUACUUUGGGGGGAGGUAUUCGAUUUUUUCGAUAGAUUAAAAGUUCUACCCUGUCUUUUCCCUACAGUUUGCGGCAAUUACGGUAUUUGUAGUAACGGCCAGUGUAGCUGUCCUAGACCUAUAAAUGCAACAGGCUAUUUUCAGGCCACAAAGGAAACGCAACCUGACCAUGGCUGCUCCCUGAUUACUCCCUUGUCUUGUGAAGUUUCCAAAAAUCACAUUCUUUUAGAGCUCAAGGAGAUCACAUACUUUCCCUUUACUCAAGACCCUCCAGGUAUAAAUCCAGCUCAUCAACAUAUAAAUUUAGAUAGUUGUAAACAGGCUUGCUUAAAAGAUUGUUCGUGCAAAGCUGCUUUUUAUAAUUCAAGCAAAAGUUUAGGGAAUUGCUAUUUACUAUCCCAAAUUUAUUCACUUAUGGCCGUUGAUCAAGAUAAUACAGACUUCAAAGUAUACAUUAAGGUCCAAAAUCCUAUUCAACAGCAGACAAACCAGCAGACAAACCAUAGAAAGAAGAAACAAGUAAUAAUGGGAUCUAGCCUCGGAUCUUUGCUUGUUAUUUUUCUUUUAAUUGGAAUCUUUGCUUUACUAUUUUGGAAGAAGGAAAAUGCAGAUGAAGCAGAGGAGUAUUAUUUGGAUCAUGUACCGGGGAUGCCCACAAGAUAUUCUUAUGAUGAUUUACAAGCAAUAACAGAAAAUUUCAAUAAGGAACUGGGUAGGGGAGGAUUUGGCACAGUUUUUGAAGGGACUCUACUUGAUGGCACAAAAGUUGCAGUGAAGUGUCUUGAUAGUUUUAGUCAGAUCAAGAAAUCAUUUUUGGCAGAAGUUGAAACAAUUGGCAGCAUCCAUCAUAUUAAUUUGGUAAGACUAAUUGGAUUUUGUGCUGAGAAAUAUCAUAGGCUUCUUGUUUAUGAGUACAUGUCUAAUGGGUCUUUAGAUAGAUGGGUAUUUCACAAAAAUCCUGAGAUGUUGCUUGAUUGGAAACUUAGAAAGAAGAUCAUCAUUGAAAUUGCAAGGGGACUAUCUUAUUUACACGAGGAUUGUAGGCAAAAGAUAGUUCACUUGGAUAUAAAACCACAUAACAUCCUCUUAGAUGAGAAUUUUAAUGCAAAAGUCUCUGAUUUUGGGUUGUCUAAACUAGUUGACCAUGACCAAAGCCAAGUUGUGACAAACAUGAGAGGGACUCCUGGCUAUAUGGCUCCAGAAUGGUUGAGUUCAAUGAUUACAGAAAAGGUAGAUGUCUAUAGUUUUGGAGUAGUACUCUUGGAGAUUUUGUGUGGAAGGAGAAAUUUUGAUCACUCUCAGCCAGAGGAAGCAAUGCAUCUACUUGAUCUUUUCAAGAAAAAUAUUGUGGAGGAUCGGUUGCUCGAUUUGGUUGAUAAGUGCAGUGAAGAUAUGCAAUUACAUGGAGGUGAAGUUGUGAAUACGAUGAGAGUUGCAGCAUGGUGUUUGCAAAAUGAUUUCACAAGGAGGCCUUCCAUGUCUAUGGUGGUUAAGGUCUUAGAGGGUGCUGUGAAUGUUGAAUCUGACCUAGAUUACUUCUUCUCCAAUCCAUCUUUACCAAACAUGAGAGCUGGAGUUGAAAAUCAGGAAGUGCACAUAGUUGCUGCUUCUUCAUUAUUUCCUUCAAUUCUAUCAGGACCUCGAUAACUUUUCACUGUACCAUAAUGAGGCAGCUGGCGGCAACAUUUCAGCAAAUCGAGUUUAAUCACUGCUACCGGAAAGCUAACCAGUGUGCUGAUAUGCUCGCUAGAAUGGGUGCCGAACAGGAGUUACAUUUUCUUUUGUUUAAUAGUCCGCCUGUGGAGGUUCUUUCUGCUUUUGAGGAUGACUGUACUGGAGUGUAUUUUAACAGGCUGUGUCCUGAACUUGAUGUAGUGUUUUAGUUUUUUGAUGCA